UGCACCCGGUCACAUCUGUUGACCCAACGGCUCUUCACCUUCAACAGGUACGUGAUCAAUGGCGGAGUCUGACUUGAAUAUCAUGACUCUAAAUUAUUUUGCAUACAGGAUGACGGAGUUUAUCUUAAAUGUUGAAACUCAUCUUGAGUCUCGACUAUGAACACUAAGACUCUCAUUCGAGUCGCAAGCUAACCAGCUGUUGCUUUAUGACUAGCUAUAGACUUCAUUCAGUCAGCUAUUGUUUAUUCUUUAUUCAUAACAGCAAAAAUAGGGCAAUGACCCUGACACAAAACAGUCGAUUCCAUAUAAUCAACUCAAGUGAGUCGCACCAGCUGCGUCACCACAGUUGUUUAUGUGCAUUCGUAUAACGGUAAGCCUCUUGGGUUUCAUCCAAAGAGCCUGGAGCCGCACCAGCUGCGCUGCUCUAGUAAAAUCCAUGCUCAUUGCAUGAAGAUAAGCCUCAUGGAUCUCUCCAUCGAGCCUGAAAUCGUACCAGCUGCGUAUUUCAGUUUAACAUCCCAACUUUUACAAAUUUUGCAUCAUGCAUUUGCACUCAUAAGCAUCAUGCCAUUUAUGCACUUUGAGCAAUAUAAACCAUUUUCCAAAAGUUAAAAAUCCUUUUUAUUUAGCCUUUACUUUCUAAUCUUCUUUGUUAUCUUUUUGGAAUUUCUCAACCCAUAGGGUUUAGUCAAUAUUAAAAAGGUUUAUUGCGUCAAGAUAAGCUACCCCAUAAUUUUUGGAAAUUGUUUUGGAGUUGAAAACUAUUUAUUUCAAAAUAAUGUUGCACUAGGGGGCAACUAUUUUAUGCAAAACUAUUUUUAAACAUUUGAUUUUGGAAGGAAUCCAGCCCCAGAUGCUUUAGCAUGGAAGGAUAGGGUUCUAUUAAUUUUCUGGGAUUUAUUUGGAGUCAUUUGGAGUUAUAAAUCAAAAGUUAGGAGGGAAAAAAAGAAAAAGAGAAAAAGAAAAGAUCAAAAAGAAGGGGAAACCAGGCCGUCCCGACCGAACCGUCUGAACCGGCCCGACCUGCACCCGCACGCGUGCGCGCACAGCGCCUGCCCGCGCGGUUUGUACCGCGAGCCCGCCCCGCUACGCACUUCCCCC
rnacentral:lncRNA from 1 species